rnacentral:rRNA from 1 species
UACGGGGGGAGCAAGCGUUGUUCGGAUUUACUGGGCGUAAAGGGCGCGUAGGCGGCGCAACAAGUCACUUGUGAAAUCUCCGGGCUUAACUCGGAAAGGUCAACUGAUACUGCGCGGCUAGAGUGCGGAAGGGGCAACUGGAAUUCUCGGUGUAGCGGUGAAAUGCGUAGAUAUCGAGAGGAACACCUGCGGCGAAGGCGGGUUGCUGGGCCGACACUGACGCUGAUGCGCGAAAGCCAGGGGAGCGAACGGG